AUGAGCCAUACAAUGAAGCUAUGGGAGAGAGUCAUUGAGCACCGCUUAAGAAGAAUGACAAGCAUGACCAAAAAUCAGUUUGGUUUCAUGCCUGGGAGGUCGACCAUGGAAGCCAUUUUCUUGGUACGACAACUUAUGGAGAGAUAUAGGGAGAAUAAGAAGGACUUGCAUAUGGUGUUCAUUGACUUGAAGAAGGCCUAUGAUAAGAUAUCGCGGAAUGUCAUGUGGUGGGCCUUGGAGAAACACAAAGUCCCAGCAAAGUACAUUACCCUCAUCAAGGACAUGUACAAUAAUGUUGUGACAAGUGUUCGAACAAGUGAUGUCGACACCGAUGACUUCCCGAUUAAGAUAGGACUGCAUCAGGGGUCAGCUUUGAGCCCUUAUCUUUUUGCAUUGGUGAUGGAUGAGGUCACAAGGGGUAUACAAGGAGAUAUCCCAUGGUGUAUGCUCUUUGCGGAUGAUGUGGUGCUAGUUGACGAUAGUCGGACGGGGGUAAAUAGGAAGUUAGAGUUAUGGAGACAAACCUUGGAAUCGAAAGGGUUUAGGCUUAGUAGAACUAAAACCGAGUACAUGAUGUGCGGUUUCAGUACUACUAGCUGUGUGGAGGAGGAGGUUAGCCUUGAUGGCCAGGUGGUACCUCGGAAGGACACCUUUCGGUAUUUGGGGUCAAUGUUGCAGGAGGAUGGGGGUAUUGAUGAAGAUGUGAACCAUCGAGUCAAAGCCGGAUGGAUGAAGUGGCGCCAAGCUUCUGGCAUUCUCUGUGACAAGAGAGUGCCACAAAAGCUAAAAGGCAAGUUCUACAGGACGACAGUUCGACCCGCAAUGUUGUAUGGCACGGAGUGUUGGCCGACUAAAAGGCGACAUGUUCAACAGUUAGGUGUGGCGGAGAUGCGUAUGUUGAGAUGGAUGUGUGGCCACACGAGGAAGGAUCGAGUCCGGAAUGAUGAUAUACGAGAUAGAGUUGGGGUAGCACCAAUUGAGGAGAAGCUUGUCCAACAUCGUUUGAGAUGGUUUGGGCAUAUUCAGCGCAGGCCUCCGGAAGCUCCAGUGCAUAGCGGACGGCUAAAGCGUGCGGAGAAUGUCAAGAGAGGGCGGGAUCGACCGAUUUUCACAUGGGAGGAGUCCGUUAAGAGAGACCUGAAGGAUUGGAGUAUCGACAAAGAGCUAGUUAUGGACAGGGGUGCGUGGAAGCUUGCUAUCCAUGUGCCAGAGCCAUGA
rnacentral:rRNA from 1 species